GUGAAAUACAUUUCGACUAUUUACAGAGAUUGCAUUGUAUAACUUGUAUACACUGUAUUACUUUGGUCUGUUUUAUCAUUUGCUGUUUUGCCUAAGUCAGGAAGUGUUUAUGUUCUUGUGUGUGUGUGUGCGUGUGUGUGUGUGUGAACAUGCGCACAGAAGCGUUGAUAUCCUUUGAACCACAACACAUACAGUAACAUGUGAAUAUAUGACAGUUACUGUAUAGUAGCUACAUAACGUGAAUCCUGUUAGCCACGGGACUAUGACAAUAUUCUCCCUGUUGAUUCUAUUUCAACUCCAUUUGCAGGGGCUGAGUCAAUGCAACUUGAACGUUAAGUGCAACAGAGCAGAGUUGUCGUGCCAACCGCUGCCUGUGCACCGUGACCUCAACAUCUGGUAUGUUCUGAGCGUGCUCCAACUCCGGCUCCUAGGAUCAGCUAACUCACCAUGGGAAACUACAUGUGUGGAACACUGAGGAAGAGGAUGUGACAUAUGCCACCAUCGACCAUAACAACACCAAGACAACAGGAUUCAUUGUAGAUUCCGGAGAUAAUGAUUGUGACUACGCCAUCGUUAACCUUCCAACUGGCCCAGCCCACCAGCCGUCAAUCAAGGAAGACUGUGCAGAUGACUAUGUCCUUAUGGGCUAACCUCAUGGACAAUGUGUGUGUGUGUGAGAUGACAGAGGUAAUGUGAGUAGGGGGAUAACGGAGAUGCAAGGUGGACAAGGGCUGGGGAAAGCUAGACAGCACCUUACGGAACCAAAGGAACAGAUAUGAUGCCUCUGACAGUGCCUACAAACUGAACUUGAUGCAGUGUGGGGUGCACCAAUUAGUGGGGCUUACCAAAGUAUUCACCCCCUUGGCAUUUUUCCUAUUUUGUUGACUUACAACCUGGAAUUAAAAUAUAUUUUGGGAGGUUUGUAUCAUUUGAUUUACACAACAUGCCUACCACUUUGAAGAUGCAAAAUAUUUUUUAUUGUGAAACAAACAAGAAAUAAGACAAAAAAACUGAAAAAAUGAGUGUGCAUAACUAUUCACCCCAAAAGUCAAUACUUUGUAGAGCCACCGUUUGCAGCAAUUACGGCUGCAAGUCUCUUGGGGUAUGUCUCGGCAAAUCUAGCCACUGGGAUUUUUGCCCAUUCUUCAAGGCAAAACUGUUCCAGUUCCUUCAAGUUGGAUGGAUUCCGCUGGUAUACAGCAAUCUUUAAGUCAUACCACAGAUUCUCAAUUGGAUUGAGGUCUGGGCUUUGACAAGGCCAUUCCAAUACAUUUAAAUGUUUCCCCUUAAACCACUUGAGUGUUGCUUUAGCAGUAUGCUUAGGGUCAUUGUCCUGCUGGAAGGUGAACCUCCGUAACCAGUCUUAAAUCUUUGGAAGACUGAAACAGGUUUCCCUCAAGAAUGUCCCUGUAUUUAGCUCCAUCCAUCAUUCCUUCAAUUCUGACCAGUUUCCCAGUCCCUGCCGAUGAAAAACAUUCAUACAGCAUGAUGCUGCCACCACCAUGCUUCAC
rnacentral:lncRNA from 1 species